UAUUUUCAUAUAAAAACAACAGAGAUGAAAUGAUAUGUUUAUCAGCAUAGAUGUAUAUAGAAUGACUAGAUGUGUUACGUCGAGGUCUAGAGCGUCCGCACAGGUCGGCCAUCUUACCACAGGCUGGCUUUCUGGCGGGAUCAGUCCGUCGAACCUGAGGUAAACGGAGGUAACCUGAUGUAAGGAAAUUGCUGACAAGAUAUCAGACUUUUGUGCCGCCUAUGGCUGCUGUAACCGCCGUUGUCUCGAAACGAGAACCCGAGGGAUCACCUUUCACCUGUUUCCCAAAUCCAGAGAGAGGAGGAGGAAGUGGGAAGUUGCCCUAAGAAGGGACGGUUUUGCUGCCACUGACAGGAUAGGACGGCAUCAUGCCUUCAGUGUGCAUAUUGUAUUAUUGACUUCCUGGCCUGCACAGCCUAGCGACCCACAACCUGCCAACCUAUUCACUUAUCACUUCAUCAUCACUUAUCAGGACCAGCCGGAUGAGGACCAGAACCAGCACCACUGGGACACCUUCGUUACUUCGCUAAAUUUUUAAUUAAAGUGUAAAAAAAAAAAAAAAAUCCAUCAAAUGUCUCUAACACCUCUGUCCAAACAUUGAUUUUAAUAAAUCUUCAAAAAUCUUUGAAAAGUGCCUUUAUAAUGUCUAAACAAACUGGUUUACUAUCAUUUUAUGUGUAAAAAUAUUUUUAUUAACAAUUUGGAAGUAUGGGCUUUAGUUCUUUGUGCUGUGUUAUUGUCAUCACUGUACAGGGUGGGGAUUUCAACAUGCAGCGUUUC